UACUUCCAAGCAGUCAGCAGAAAGUGUUCCUGCAGAUGCUGAAAUGGGACACAAAAGACAAUCUGUAUUUAUAAGACGGAAAAAAAAAAGUGCAGAGUUUAAAAUAAAAGCAAUGAUAACCCAUGCCCUGGAGAUGGCAAGUAGGACCACAUGCCAGCUAUUUAGUAAGAUCUGAAAACCCUGGUUCAGGGGUCACCCAAUUUAGGUGAAGAUGCUGCUGCAAGCACCUUUGCAGUGGAGGCUAUCAUCACCAGCUGGGAAGCCUGGCAGAGCUUGAUUAACCACUUGAGCCUUGCUUUUCUCAUUCAGGCCUUAAUUUCAGACCUUACCCUGAAAUAAUUCAGUGCCACCAGAAAAUACUGUCACCGCAGUAGGUGACUAGGUCACUAGGCUUAAAGGAGAGUGGUUAAUUAUUUCUAAUUAGCUUAGAGCCUGCUUGCAAAUGGGAUUUGUCAGGAGCUUGUCUGUGACACAGACCUGAGGGCAGCAAUAGGCUGUAAUAGCUGUAAUCAGCCUUGCACGCCCUCACCUCCAGCAAGCCCAGCAGUUCCCAGCGGGAUGGUUUGGUGCAGAGGCACUCAGCUGGUGAGAAGCAGCUUGGUGACACAACAGCAGUGAGUUACACACAGCUUAUCAAGAAGCUAAUAACAGGUGCCUUACUGAGAGGACAGUAAGAUACUGGAAGAGGAGCCUGGAAGCAAAGCUGUGCAGCCGCUGUCCCUGGAGGUGUCCAAGAAAAUGGAGAAAUCCCUGUCCCUAACCAGGAUAUUGAACCUGUUGAGGCUUGCAUACAGACAUCCUAAGCUUUCUUUUUGCUACUGAAUGAAGCCGCUGGCAUUUGGCUGUGCAAAUCCAACUCCUCCCUGAGCGAGCUGGCCGCAGCGGCUGCUCAGGAACUGGCUGGGCAUCAGCUGGCGUGUGCUGGGUUAUCUGAUGGAGGACUUCUGAACUGGGAUGACAAGAAGAAAAGUUGGGGGAGUCAUAAGCAAAAUGCCGGGACACAGACCUGACAAAGCAGAAAUGGAAACAAUGAUAAACAAACCUUCUAGUCAUGCAAAUUGAUGGGCUAUCAAACUACACGUACCACGUCCAAGAAGAUCAACCUGGACUUUGCAACUGGACUCUGUUUCCAGGAAUCAGCAGUUCUGUGUAACCAGCUGUUUGCAUACUGAAUUGGUAUUACUCAGUGAAUCCCAGCGCCUAAAACCUGGGUUUCCCCAGAAACUGGGCACCCGAAAGAAACGACUGAAGAAUUUAAGCAGUGUUUUACCCAAGGAGCUACAGGAGGAUUUUGCAAUCAGCUGGAAUUCCAUUUAUAGGAUAUCUUACAGCACAAGUGGAGCCCAGAUGUUUUCGGUAAACGGCUUUCAAAACAGUUGAGAUCAGUGUCAAAUUUCCAGACAUGUGAUCCAGCUUGGAGUCAAGUUUGGGGUUGCUUUUGUGUUUACCUAAAGUCUGUGUGCUGAAUUACACUGAAGUUUGGGGUUGGAAUAAAGUUCUCUAUAACAAAUAUUUGACUGGACACAUGGUUUAUCUUAUUUGCAGGACUUUGAGCUUUGAAAAAAGGUUACUGUAUUUUCUUAGAGUAAUAUUUGAGGUAUAGUCAGCUCCCUCUUGCUCACUGGAUUUAGAAAUGGCGUUGCAUUUUAACUCAGAUCUGUUAUUAUUCUAGCUAUUAAACUAGCAUGGCGAGAAAACAUUUCAAAGCGAGAUGGGAACCGUUUGUACAGAUGAUAAAUGACACAUGCAUUCCUGAACAAUCUGGCUUGCCCAACUGCAGUGAACUCUGCUCACGUGAAGGCAGCCCUCUUGUUGGAGGUCUAGCUGGAUGCCUAAGUCAUACGCUAAGUUUUUGCUGAGGCAGUCUAUCAGCAAAAAAAUCUGCCUUCCAGUUUUACAAGCUUAGAAUUUACUUUUGCAAGUACUGUCUAGUCGUUUUUCAGCCCACAGUAAGAUCACUGCCAUAAUUUGGAAGAUCAUACAGAAAAAUGGCACAGGUUGAGUCAGUAUGAAUGAUUGUAAAGUGUGUGGAAGAGACAUGGGAACCCUCCCAUUUUAAACGCUGUAUCCAAGCCUUACCCUAUGCAAAGUCCUUGCCAACUUCAAAUCCUACGUUGCCCUGUCUGUGCAAAUUCGCUGUAACUGUGUGUCAUGCCCUCUUCAAAACCUGCUCAGGGCUUCCAAUCUAACAGCGAUUUACCCUUGGCCUGGGGUCGGACUCCUCUUUUCCUGAGACUGUAUGUGCGUCACACGCAAUGGGUGUCACACGACACUGAGAUACUUUGAGGUGUGUGAAAAGACAACCUUGGUGCUUUUUUUUUUCCUGCUACACCUUGAGCUGUGUCAACCAGUUCUCUGACUUAACCACCUUGUGUAUAUGUAUGGAAAGAAGCUCAUUUUAUUUAGGCAUUUAAUUUUUAUGGGCAAAAAGGCUCAAAUUUUUGCAGACUUGAAUCGAUGUCUUAAGUUGUCAUAUAAGGAACCUAAGCGUUACUGUCCUUAAUUUGGCUGAGCUUCAGAUUUGUGCUCUACAUAGCAUGUUUACAUCUCAGCUGUAAACAAAUGAGAGAUCUUGCUCCAUU